UCCGGUCCUCCUCAAGCUCCCUCCACCUCGCGGCCGUGAGAUCCUCGCCGGCGACACCGGGGUCCAUUCUAGUGAAGACAAAAAAAGGGGAUUCUGAGGGUGAUGAGACAGAUGCGUGCUUGGAGACCCCUGUCCUGCUCCUGCCUACGGCGAGAACUCCGGCAACCCAUGUUCUGCUGCAUCUUACGCUCAAGCCGGCGGCCCUCCGCUCAGUGCGCGUGCGAUGUGUGUUAUGCACUGGCCGCAAUGCUCAGUUGUGCUCUCCGUGAGGCACAUUCAUCUUUUUUGUUUGUUUGACAGUACGUGAGAUACAAUCAUCUAUGUUUUCAUUUUUCGAAGUUCAGAUAUGACGAAAAUAACUCCAGGCAGGUCGAACAAAUUACUCCUGGCAGGUCGAACAAAAUGUUUGAGGCUGGUCAAAGAAAAAAAAUUACUUGUGUCCAGAGAAUAAAAUUAAUUGGCCAUGUGCGUGGAGGUGAGCGUGUGCUUAGUUUUCAUUCUUUUUAGAAAUAG
rnacentral:lncRNA from 1 species